rnacentral:rRNA from 1 species
GAUGAACGCUGGCGGCGUGCCUAAUACAUGCAAGUCGAGCGAACAGACUAUGAGCUUGCUCCUCUGACGUUAGCGGCGGACGGGUGAGUAACACGUGGAUAACCUACCUAUAAGACUGGGAUAACUUCGGGAAACCGGAGCUAAUGCCGGAUAAUAUAUUGCACCGCAUGGUUCAAUAGUGAAAGACGGUUUUGCUGUCACUUAUAGAUGGAUCCGCGCCGCAUUAGCUAGUUGGUAAGGUAACGGCUUACCAAGGCAACGAUGCGUAGCCGACCUGAGAGGGUGAUCGGCCACAUUGGAACUGAGACACGGUCCAGACUCCUACGGGAGGCAGCAGUAGGGAAUCUUCCGCAAUGGGCGAAAGCCUGACGGAGCAACGCCGCGUGAGUGAUGAAGGUCUUCGGAUCGUAAAACUCUGUUAUUAGGGAAGAACAAAUGUGUAAGUAACUAUGCACGUCUUGACGGUACCUAAUCAGAAAGCCACGGCUAACUACGUG